UCCCUGGAGGACCUAGUGGUUAGGCCACAGUGCUCUCACUGCUGUGGCCUGGGUUCGAUUCCUGGCCAGGGAA